rnacentral:rRNA from 1 species
AACGUAGGAGACAAACGUUAUCCGGAAUUACUGGGCGUAAAGGGCGCGUAGGCGGCACUGUUAGUCAGGCGUGAAAGUCCUGGGCUCAACCUGGGAACUGCGCUUGAUACGGCAGAGCUAGAGGAUGGAAGAGGCUCGCGGAAUUCCCAGUGUAGAGGUGAAAUUCGUAGAUAUUGGGAAGAACACCGGUGGCGAAGGCGGCGAGCUGGUCCAUUACUGACGCUGAGGCGCGACAGCGUGGGGAGCAAACAGG